rnacentral:lncRNA from 1 species
UGCAAGAAUACCAAACAUAAAGCCUGGAAAGGCUACUAUAGAAUACCUAAUAAAGAUUCAGGCAUCCACACGAUUUUGGGGUCUGUCAUUGAUCAGAAAGACUUGACUUUUUUCCUUAGUUUAAUCCACUCUUAAUAUUGUUAGAUUUUGGUCUUCUAUCUUGUGGAACUUUUGCAGGGGGACUGCUGUUAAGUGUAUUGGCCACUACAUCUACUAUUCUUGAUCACCAUUUACGGCGCAUCAAUGCUGGAUUUGCUAUUGGUUUUACCUCAGUUCUAAUUAUUGUAAGUACAAGAAGGGUGCAUUUACUUGUACUUUUAUUGUACCUGGAAUGCAAACUCAUCAGUAUACAACCAAGAAACAAAUUUGUGCCUGCUUAACCUGGCUUGAAUUGUUAUUUCUUUUUGGGUAAUUUAAAUUUAGGUGCACUAUUUCUUUACUGUUAUGUGUUGAGUCAUCUCCCAUGCAUGUCACUAGGAUCCUUUGAACUCUUCCUCCGCUACAAAUAACAGUGUUUAUUCGCCAUUACACUUCUAAUCUAAUAUUGAAAGUUUCAACAAUUUAAAACACGUGCUUUGUUGAUGUGACCGGUAUGUUCUAUUCUACAGUUUGAUUAAUUAGUCCCUUUUGCUGCUUCAGGUUGGUUCCCUUAUCGAACUUAGAAGAUCAUAUCAUAAACAAAAAAGAAAAGAAAAAUGACCAAAAGGAUGAUAAAUAGAUAAUUUUGGAUGAAUGUUUUACCACUAACUGAUAAUGAGGACCAUAAGAGUUUAAGAUAUCAGUUGUAACUUGUAAUGUGGAAUUUGUUUAAACUGGAAUUCAGUUUAGCCUGUAGUACCUUGUGUUGAUGUUUUACGGAUGUGAUAUAAUUUUUAUAUCUAGUUAAUUAAAUAUCAUGGAAUAAACACUAUCUUUUUGAGUAAUAUCUCUUGAUAUUGCAGUGAAUGGUCUGGGUGGUGUGACUUGGUGCCAAUAUCUGCUUGCAGUGUUGGGUAUUUUCACCAUAGUUACUAUGUGGGCAGUUGUGGUAACUGAAAGUUGCAGGAAAGUAAAUCUUCAGUACUAUGGUUUCAAACUUGCUUCUGCUGCAAGGUAAUGGUUGAAACUUUGCUGCACCUGAAAAGUCUAGAUAAUCAUGAUUUUAGAGUUCUGAUAUUUAUCACUUAAAAUUUUUCUCAAUUUUUAUACGGUUGAUUAUUAAUGGGGAAAGUUGUUCCAUUCCUCUAGUUGAGAAAAUGACUAUUUUAUUGUCUUCUGUUGUACCUUCAUUGGCAUGGGUAUUGACAGUAUAUUGGAGUAUUGGACUAAUUUAUUUUGUAGAAUUAAUUUCAUAUAUACUUAUGUCAUUCUGAAGGAUUAACUGAUACUUGAGUGUACUGAUGUAUAAUUGAUCUUACUAUGCUUACUAUGUUAAACAGGGAGCAAUCACCAAUUACUGAAGUCGAACCGUAUAUUCCUUUCAAUAUUAAUCCAUCUGGAAUUCUUACUACCAGUCGAACCGUAUAUUCCUUUCAAUAUUAAUCCAUCUGGAAUGCAACCUGUUCUUACUACCUCUUACCUCUUAGCAUUUCCAUGUAUUCUAGCCAGGUUUGUGCACGCUCUUUUUUAGCUUGACAACAUUGCAGGUUAAAUCUUGCUUUUGCUAUCUUCUAUCUCCCCCCCUUCUUUUUUUCUGUGUGUGUGGCGCAUGCUAUGUUGCAUAUUGAUUUACUAUUUUCUAGUGAUUUGCAUUCUCUAAUAUAGCUUUUAUUUAUAGUCUGCUUCAAUCACGUUUCUGGGAGCACGUAAAGGAGAUAUUGAACCCUGAAAAUUCUGUUGGUGCUGAGCCAUGGGUUUACUAUUCAAUAUAUGCUCUUUUUGUCUUCCUAUUCAAUAUAUUUGAUAUUGUAAGUUUCUUUUUGCUGAUAUGAGUUUCCAUUUGCAUUUUCAGUAGUUUCUUGUUGAUAUAAACUUAAGUUUUAUGAAAAUAAUAAAAUACAGUGAAAAGUUUAUAGAUGUGCCGUGUAUAACAUUAGAGAAAAGUCAGCUCUUCAAUUUCCUUGGAUUACUAAAAUGAGUUUUUUCAAAUUAUCUGUUGAAGGUCUCAAACUAUGGAAUGUCUUGUGCUACUAGUCUACUACUUUUUCCAGUUAUGACAUUUUCAAUGCAAUUUAGUAAUGUGUAUUAGCAGUCUAGUGGGUAAGACUUUGGUUAUUCAUGUUGUUGUUGUUGUCUUAAUUUGUUGAUCUCUUAGUUUGAGGUGUCAUUUAACUGUCAUAAUAUGUUAUGAUUAUUAGAAUGGAUUCCAUCUAUCUUAUAACAUUUUAUUGUUCUUUGUGCACAGGCUAACCUGCCAAAGGAAAUUGCUGAUUACUUAAAUAAGAUGGGUGCAAGAAUACCAAACAUAAAGCCUGGAAAGGCUACUAUAGAAUACCUAAUAAAGAUUCAGGCAUCCACACGAUUUUGGGGUCUGUCAUUGAUUAGAAAGACUUGACAUUUUUCCUUAGUUUAAUCCACUCUUAAUAUUGUUAGAUUUUGGUCUUCUAUCUUGUGGAACUUUUGCAGGGGGACUGCUGUUAAGUGUAUUGGCCACUACAUCUACUAUUCUUGAUCACCAUUUACGGCGCAUCAAUGCUGGAUUUGCUAUUGGUUUUACCUCAGUUCUAAU